rnacentral:RNase_P_RNA from 2 species
GGCAGAGGGAGCCCGGCCUCCGUGCCCCGGUCCGCGUCGACUCCGUCGGCGCGCUACGGGCAUGAGGAAAGUCCCCCCACCGUCCGGGCAGGUGACCGGGUGCAAACCCGGAGCGGGCGACCGCUGGCGCUGGAACAGAAACGAGACCCCUUCCCCCGACCGAUGACGUGCGCGAACCCCGAGCGAGGCUCCGCCGAAGCGACGGGGAGCUAACCCACGGAGGGUUGCGAGGCGACGCAGUCGCCUCGGGCAGCCGAACGGACCUCGUCCGUGAGGCCGCGCGACGCGCGAGCGCCGCGCCGACGGGGAAGAACGGAUGGAACGGCGAAUCCUCACCGGUGCAAGUCCGCGCGGAAGGUAGCCCGGACGCGAGCGCGGACGCUCAGCCGAAUGCCGGGCCGAACAGAAGGGGGCUUACUCCCCUCAGCC